AUUGAACGCUGGCGGCAUGCCUUACACAUGCAAGUCGAACGGCAGCACGGGUGCUUGCACCUGGUGGCGAGUGGCGAACGGGUGAGUAAUACAUCGGAACAUGUCCUGUAGUGGGGGAUAGCCCGGCGAAAGCCGGAUUAAUACCGCAUACGAUCUACGGAUGAAAGCGGGGGACCUUCGGGCCUCGCGCUAUAGGGUUGGCCGAUGGCUGAUUAGCUAGUUGGUGGGGUAAAGGCCUACCAAGGCGACGAUCAGUAGCUGGUCUGAGAGGACGACCAGCCACACUGGGACUGAGACACGGCCCAGACUCCUACGGGAGGCAGCAGUGGGGAAUUUUGGACAAAGGGCGAGAGCCUGAUCCAGCAAUGCCGCGUGUGUGAAGAAGGCCUUCGGGUUGUAAAGCACUUUUGUCCGGAAAGAAAUCCUUGGCCCUAAUACGGUCGGGGGAUGACGGUACCGGAAGAAUAAGCACCGGCUAACUACGUG
rnacentral:rRNA from 1 species